GGGAAGGUGGCCGAGCGGUCUAAGGCGCCACGUUAAGGAGAUUAUCCUUGAUAAUUCAUUCCUCCUCCCACGGGGGAAACAUGAUCCGUGGUCUCGUAAGAGGCGUGGGUUCAAAUCCCACCCUUCUCA